rnacentral:rRNA from 1 species
AUCACUUGUCCUUUAAUAAGGACUAGUAUGAACGGCUUCACGAAGGCUAUACUGUCUCCUUAGUCUAAUCAAUUAAACUAAUCUCCCCGUGAAGAAGCGGGGAUUCAUUUAUAAGACGAGAAGACCCUAUGGAGCUUUAAACAUCUAAGACACUUGAUUACACCUACUAAACUUCAUGCAACCUAUCAUUUUGUCUUAAGUUUUAGGUUGGGGUGACCACGGAGAAAAAUUGAACCUCCACGUAGAAAGAAAAUUCUUUUCUAAGCAAAAAGCCACAUCUUAACGCAUCAAUAUAUUGACUUAAAUUGACCCAAUUUCUUGCUCAACGAACCAAGUUACCCUAGGGAUAACAGCGCAAUCCGCUUUAAGAGCUCCUAUCGACAAGCGGGCUUACGACCUCGAUGUUGGAUCAGGGCAUCG